GACGAACGCUGGCGGCGUGCUUAACACAUGCAAGUUGAACGUAGUAGCGAACGGGUGAGUAACACGUGAGAAACCUGCCUUUCACAAAGGGAUAGCCUCGGGAAACCGGGAUUAAUACCUUAUGGUGAAAGAUGGUCUCGCGUCUGAUUAGGUAGUUGGUGGGGUAAAGGCCUACCAAGGCGAUGAUCAGUAGCCGGGUUGGGAGGUUGAACGGCCACACUGGAGCUGAGACACGGUCCAGACUCCUACGGAAGGCAGCAGUGGGGAAUUUGGCACAAUGGGGGAAACCCUGAUGCAGCGACGCCGCGUGUACGAUGAAGAUCGUCGGAUUGUAAAGUACUGUCCUUGGUGAAGCUGUAACCAAGAAGCAAGCCCUGGCUAAAUACGUGCCAGCAGCCGCGGUAAUAC
rnacentral:rRNA from 1 species